rnacentral:rRNA from 1 species
GACGAACGCUGGCGGCACGCUUAACACAUGCAAGUCGAACGGUGACGGAGGUGCUUGCACCUCUUGAUCAGUGGCGGACGGGUGAGUAACACGUGAGCAACCUGCCUUUAAGAGGGGGAUAACGUUUGGAAACGAACGCUAAUACCGCAUAACAUAAAGAAUUCGCAUGUUUUCUUUAUCAAAGAUUUAUCGCUUAAAGAUGGGCUCGCGUCUGAUUAGCUAGUUGGUGAGGUAACGGCUCACCAAGGCGACGAUCAGUAGCCGGACUGAGAGGUUGAACGGCCACAUUGGGACUGAGACACGGCCCAGACUCCUACGGGAGGCAGCAGUGGGGAAUAUUGCACAAUGGGCGCAAGCCUGAUGCAGCGAUGCCGCGUGAGGGAAGAAGGUUUUCGGAUUGUAAACCUCUGUCUUCAGGGACGAUAAUGACGGUACCUGAGGAGGAAGCUCCGGCUAACUACGU